rnacentral:tRNA from 1 species
GGUUUGUGGCUUAGUGGUAGAGCACUUGCCUCACACGUAUGGGGCACUGGGUUCAAUCCUCAGCACCA